GCGAGCUUAGCUCAGUUGGGAGAGCGUCAGACUGAAGAUCUGAAGGUCUUCGGUUCGAACCCGGAAGUUCGCA
rnacentral:tRNA from 1 species